CUAGUUAGCUGGAUGUGGUACUGCACUCCUGUAAUUCCGCUGUCUUGGAGGUAUAGGCAGGAUGAUUGGGAGUUCAAAACCAUCCUCAGCUACUAAU
rnacentral:miRNA from 14 species